rnacentral:rRNA from 1 species
UACGUAGGCAGCGAGCGUUGUUCGGAGUUACUAGGCGUAAAGCGUGCGUAGGCGGUGUCUUAAGUUUGUUGUGAAAUCUCCCGGCUUAACCGGGAGGGUGCGGCGAAUACUGAGAUGCUGGAGUGCGGGAGAGGUAAGCGGAAUUCCUGGUGUAGCGGUGAAAUGCGUAGAUAUCAGGAGGAACACCUGCGGUGUAGACGGCUUACUGGACCGUAACUGACGCUGAGGCACGAAAGCGUGGGUAGCAAACAGG